rnacentral:lncRNA from 1 species
CCGGUAAAGUUGCGGUGUAAUGUAAUAUACCGGAUUUAAAUAUAAAAAUAAAAAUAAAUAAAAAUAGUAUGAGAUACUAUUUUUAUUGGAUUUGGAGAAGUAAAAUAUGAGUUAGAAAUGACUUGUGCUGAAAUUGGAAUGAAAACAGAAGAUUUAGAAUUUUCUGUGAGAGACGGGGCAGAUAAAUUAGCAGAAAAUGCACAGUCUCAGAAAAUUAUGAAAAUUGGAGGACAAGUCAGAAAUAUUUUUAUGAGGCUAGAUUUAAGGUUUCAUAUUUUUCUGACACCCGUAGAGUGAGAAAUAAAAUCCGACAGUUAUCUGAUAAAGAUUACAGUUCGGUACAGUUUUCAGUGACCAAACGGGGUCGAAACUGAAAAGUUAAGAUAUAUUCUUACUCAGUACGUUAAACUGAGUCUACCUGUCAAAUUUGAGCUCAAUCGGACAUUCAGAAGGGUUCCGAUGGAACUUAUCAGAUUUGAGGGACUAAACUGAAAAGUGGAAUAGUUGAGGGGGCUGCUUGUGGAAAAGAGCAUUGCUCUUCUUCUCCUCCCUCAACCUGCGUACACAACCAGCCCCAAACCGACACACCCACACACGCAUGGAUAGGAGAAGAGAACCCUCUCUUUCUCUCUCUAAAUCUCUCCCAAAAUUAAGGGAAUUAGUGGAGAUUGAAGCUUGGAGGUGAAUCGUCAUCAUCUUCUUCAUCUUCUCCAUGGAUUGAAGCUAGUUUUGAGGUAAGCUUUUGCUACCCUUUAAUGGUAGAUCUCUAGAUAUGGGGUUUUGAUCUCUAGAAAUGGAUUUAGAGCUAUUCUAGCAUGCUAAAUAGACACUUGAAUACCGUAUAGCCACAUGGAAUUGUGGACAAUACUCUUUUGAGAAUUGGAAGUCGAGAUAUGCCGGGGUAGGCCAUCUCGUGGUAGAGCAAGGUCCGAAUAUGGUUAGAACACUCGCGAUUGGGUGAUGCACCAAUGAUAUUGCUUUUGAGCAAUGUUGGUAGUCGAAUCGCAAUGCCCCGAGGGGGGAAAAGCAAAUGCAAAGAAGAGUUCUUGCAUGCCGAAUGGUGAGUGAUGUUGGAACGCGUAGAGUCGUUGAGCUUCGACUUGCGUAACCACCAAGAAUGACGGAGACCCGUAAUGCACUUUCGGAGUUACGCUUAGCGAAUGUGAGUGAAUCUGGUCUCACAUCCUCCUUAAUGGACCUCUAAGUUGUUCCAAUAAGUGAAAGACCGCUCCGAGAUGCGAAAGUGCAUUGGAACCCUCGAUUACUCGAUGAGUUAAAUUGAGGUGUGAGUUGGAGAUGGAGUUGAUUGAGUUUCGAGGACGAAACUCUUAUUAAGGAGGGGAGAAUGUAAGGUACCGAACUUCUAAAAUUAUGAAGUUACGUUGUCCAUUUGGUUGGAGAGCCAUUUGAAUGGUUCCGGUAAGGUUGCGGUGUAAUGUAAUAUACCGGAUUUAAAUAUAAAAAUAAAAAUAAAUAAAAAUAGUAUGAGAUACUAUUUUUAUUGGAUUUGGAGAAGUGAAAUAUGAGUUAGAAAUGACUUGUGCUGAAAUCGGAAUGAAAACAGAAGAUUUAGAAUUUUCUGUGAGAGACGGGGCAGAUAAAUUAGCAGAAAAUGCACAGUCUCAGAAAAUUAUGAAAAUUGGAGGACAAGUCAGAAAUAUUUUUAUGAGGCUAGAUUUAAGGUUUCAUAUUUUUCUGACACCCGUAGAGUGAGAAAUAAAAUCCGACAGUUAUCUGAUAAAGAUUACAGUUCGGUACAGUUUUCAGUGACCAAACGGGGUCGAAACUGAAAAGUUAAGAUAUAUUCUUACUCAGUACGUUAAACUGAGUCUGCCUGUCAAAUUUGAGCUCAAUCGGACAUUCAGAAGGGUUCCGAUGGAACUUAUCAGAUUUGAGGGACUAAACUGAAAAGUGGAAUAGUUGAGGGGGCUGCUUGUGGAAAAGAGCAUUGCUCUUCUUCUCCUCCCUCAACCUGCGUACACAACCAGCCCCAAACCGACACACCCACACACGCAUGGAUAGGAGAAGAGAACCCUCUCUUUCUCUCUCUAAAUCUCUCCCAAAAUUAAAGGAAUUAGUGGAGAUUGAAGCUUGGAGGUGAAUCGUCAUCAUCUUCUUCAUCUUCUCCAUGGAUUGAAGCUAGUUUUGAGGUAAGGUUUUGCUACCCUUUAAUGGUAGAUCUCUAGAUAUGGGGUUUUGAUCUCUAGAAAUGGAUUUAGAGCUAUUCUAGAAUGCUAAAUAGACGAUUGAUGCUUGAAUCAUAGAUCGAUUUAAUGAUUUAUUGCCUAGUUGUAACAUAGGGCUCUAAAAUGCAAGUUUUGCUACUAGUAGGGUUUGAUCUCAUUUAACCCUCUGUAAACCUAAUUGAUAGGUCACUGAACGCGUUGGAAGCGACGGUUCGGCGUUGGAAGCGACGGUUCGGCGAUUCGUCGAGCCGGUGCAAAGUUAUUAAAGAAACGGACGUUUAGGCUUCGUUUCCGCCUGGAGGGCCGAGGCGACGUCGUAAAAUCGUGGAAACGGAUUUGAAGCACCGUAGCGAGAAACCGAAGACCUAUAAUUUCCAGAUCGCGGAUCGGAGGUCGUUUGGUGGUCGCGCACCGAUUGGGUCGAGCCGAGCGGCGUGCGCCGCGGGAGGCCGAUUGCAAGUGACGACGAGCAAUCGGAACGCGGUAAAAGGUGGGGGAGUGCCAUCCCGAAGCAAUCGGGUUUCUCCUUAUGUCUAAGUAUUUCUAUGUUGAUCAAUUAUGCAUAUUGAGCAUGAUGCAUUAUAGGGUGAUAGUUGAUGGUUGGUUCUAUAUAUAUAUAUAUUGCAUGCUUCUUGAAAGAGUAAUGUAUUUGGCUUAGUGCUUAUAUCUAGCAUGCUUGAGGUUUAUAUAUGCGAUGUGAAACCCUAUAAGAAAUGAUAGGUGUAGAUGAGAACUUAGUAAUAUAUUGGCUAUUGCAUUGGAAACUUUAAACAUGU